CAGCCAUUCCGCGUGCAGGACGAAGGCCUUCGGGUUGUAAACUGCUUUUGUACGGAACGAAAAAGCCUUGGUUAAUACCCAGGGUCCAUGACGGUACCGUAAGAAUAAGCACCGGCUAACUACGUGCCAGCAGCCGCGGUAAUACGUAGGGUGCAAGCGUUAAUCGGAAUUACUGGGCGUAAAGCGUGCGCAGGCGGUUAUAUAAGACAGAUGUGAAAUCCCCGAGCUUAACUUGGGAACUGCAUUUGUGACUGUAUAGCUAGAGUACGGCAGAGGGGGAUGGAAUUCCGCGUGUAGCAGUGAAAUGCGUAGAUAUGCGGAGGAACACCGAUGGCGAAGGCAAUCCCCUGGGCCUGUACUGACGCUCAUGCACGAAAGCGUGGGGAGCAAACAGGAUUAGAUACCCUGGUAGUCCACGCCCUAAACGAUGUCAACUGGUUGUUGGGUCUUCACUGACUCAGUAACGAAGCUAACGCGUGAAGUUGACCGCCUGGGGAGUACGGCCGCAAGGUUGAAACUCAAAGGAGUUGACGGGGACCCGCACAAGCGGUGGAUGAUGUGGUUUAAUUCGAUGCAACGCGAAAAACCUUACCCACCUUUGACAUGUACGGAAUUUGCCAGAGAUGGCUUAGUGCUCGAAAGAGAACCGUAACAC
rnacentral:rRNA from 1 species